AUAUUGCACAAUGGGGGAAACCCUGAUGCAGCGACGCCGCGUGAGUGAAGAAGUAUUUCGGUAUGUAAAGCUCUGUCCUCAAGGAAGAUAAUGACGGGACUUGAGGAGGAAGCCCCGGCUAACUACGUGCCAGCAGCCGCGGUAAUACGUAGGGGGCUAGCGUUAUCCGGAAUUACUGGGCGUAAAGGGUGCGUAGGUGGUUUCUUAAGUCAGAGGUGAAAGGCUACGGCUCAACCGUAGUAAGCCUUUGAAACUGGGAAACUUGAGUGCAGGAGAGGAGAGUGGAAUUCCUAGUGUAGCGGUGAAAUGCGUAGAUAUUAGGAGGAACACCAGUUGCGAAGGCGGCUCUCUGGACUGUAACUGACACUGAGGCACGAAAGCGUGGGGAGCAAACAG
rnacentral:rRNA from 1 species